UGGACUUUAUUUUUUUAUUUUAAAAAAAUAUCCCAUGAAAUACGUAAGAAAGGAAAACAGAGAAAUUAACUUGACAAUGAAAGAACACUUAGCAGCAGCAGUAGCUGCUGUCUGGUGGAGCUGCAGGCCACAGGCUGGGUCUGAGCCACCCAGGGGAGCCAGGGGACCCACUGUUGGAGUCUCGCAGUCCCUGCCGCAGUGACAAGAGUCCAGCGGAACUGUUCUCCCACAGGCUCGGCCCCAGGGACUACAGAAGGAGCAUUCAGCCAGCCUCUCCGGAAACAGGGUCAUUCACAUUCCUGUGGCAGUGAAUGAGACGGGAAUCCGUGGCAGGGUUGCUGGCGGAAGCAGGUAGAAGUCUGGACCCACCUUCCGGGAAGACGCCGCCUCGGGUUGGGCCUCAGAGUCACCUUGCUGAGAGGGGUCUGAGGUGACUGUGGUGCUGCCCGUCUGGGUCACACAGGUGUGGGGGUCAGGACACCUGGAAGCAGUGGGCGCCUUGGGCUCCAACGGUGCAGACACGGGGAGGAGUGACGGCUGCCAUCUGCUCAGCAACUGUUCCUGCAGGGCACACAAAGGAGCGGACUUCAGGUGAUCGAGUCCAUCGAUACUGGGAAGACUAGCACACUUGAUACACAAGUGAAGAGACUCGGCAUUAGUGCUGGCAAAACUCCAGCAGACUGGGCCGGGCAGGGACCUUCUCCAGCUGACGGCUCCGUCCAGCUGGCCUGGGCCCGUGGAGAGGGUGGCACGCUGGGACCAGGAAGACACCUGCUGUGCCCUCUGCGGUCUGUGGCAGCCUCAGCCAGGGUCUUUGGGAUCCGCGCUCCUGGCCAGCACAGCAGGGAAAGGAGAAGACCCAGGGGCGCACCGCCUGGGGAGGAGGGUCGGGCCACCGAGUCCUCCUGGCCAGCGCUGUCCAGGAGAAAAGCCCAAAGGAGCUACAGGAAGAGGAGGAGAACUGGGCAGGCAGCAAGUUCAUGGGACCAGCUUCACAGUAGGAACCCUGCUUCUACGGGUGCAAGGCCACCUCCAGGGCGAGGCGUGGCGGCGGCAUUCUGCCGGGUGCCUUAGCCAGAGCAGGGACAAGGGCCAAAGGCAGGGAGGACGGUGUGCGGGCCAUAGCCGCCCAGGGAGGCAUAGGCUGAGGCCUCUGCCCCCGGGCUUCACCGCAAAGCUCAGGAAGGAUGGACAGGAGGCAGGAAUGGGAGCAAGGCUGCUCUGCGGGCCCCUGAGGGUUGAGCAGCUGCCAGUUGUCUCCCGGGCUGUGUCCUGGUGCCAGGCAGGGGCUUCACCAUCUCCUGGGAAGAGAGCAGUGAGGCUGCGGCUCACAAAGGGCCGGUGGGUCCAGCGCCCCCAUGUGUGCAGCCUGGGGGUCCCCCUGCUGUGACCUCAGGCCAUGCUGAUCCCGGGCUGCAGGUGCCCGCUGAGAAGCGGGAGGUGCUGGCAGGUGUCCACUGUGCCGACUGUGUGCCACGCGUGCCCCUCACAGCCCCUGCUGUGCCCUCCGUGUGCCACGUGAGGACUGCCUGUCUGUUCCUGCAGUACACAGGCGCCAGCACGGCCUCUGCCCGGGCCUGAGCUCUCCCCGCCCGCCUUCCUAGGGGCAGGAGGAGGAGAGAGGACAUCGGGCGACGUCCUGACGCCUGGCCCUUUCACCUGCUGCUUCACAGGCCGGGGGCACUGGCCCUGCUGACUCCGCCUCCAUAGUGCAGCCUUCCCCUCCGCAUCUUCCCCUCAGCCCCCUGCCCUCUGCCCUUGCUCAGGGUGUCUCCUUGUAUUGAGACCACUGCGGCAGGGGCUGAGCGCCUGGCACGGUACUGUGACCCGCUGCAGCCGGAAGUGCCCGGCUGUGGCUCCGCCCCUUCACUUCCGGGCAGCCCAGCCACCCGGCCUGCGCCCGGCGUCUCCUCCCCGCCCGCCCGCGCUGGACGCCUGGCUGCCCUCAGGUCUCAGCUGCGGUGGACAGGGAGUGCGGGGACCCUGAGGUCCAUCUUCUUCUUUUUGUUGUUGACGCGGUCUUGCUAUGUAGCCCAGGCUGGCCUCCAACUCGUGGUGAUUCUCCCGCCUCAGCCUCUUGCGUGCUGGUGUCAUGGGCGUGCGCCACUGUGGCUGGCUGAUUAGGCGGACGUUCUCAGGUUUCUCUGCUCGCCACUGACCAGGCCGGAGGCCACCUAUCUGAGCAAAAAGGACAAAGGGCUUACUCAAGGCUGGCCCCGAGGACACGGAGGGCCCACUUGCCUCAGGUCCCCCGCAGAGGCGGGAAAGGCCGUCCGUGGAACCAGGGGCGGGGAGGCCGAGCCAGGAGCCUGCGUGGAGCAGCCGCGUCCUUCUCCCCGCGAGGGCCGAAUCUUUGCCCGGGGCCCGCGCUCUCCCGGGGCCUCUGCUGCCCGGUUCUCGGGUUUCUGGGCAAAGGGAGAGGAAAUGGUAGAAAUGACAGCCGCGAAGCCGCACGUGACCACGACGCUGCUCGGUCCUGCGACCCAGCCAUCGCCGGCCGCCGUGCAGGUCUAUGCCUCGCCGCUUGUUCCACAGCUUCUGUUUCCGUGUGUGUGUGUUGCGCGCAUGCGCGGCACUCGGCAUCGAACCCAUGGCCUUUGCCCUCAGCUGCAGCCUCAGCCUUGUUUUAUCUCCUCUUCCUAAGUCACUACAUCGCCUUGUGACCCUCCUGCCUCAGCCUCCCAGAGGGCCGGGAUGACAGGCUUCAGAACGGCAAAAGGAAAUGGACCUGCAUGGAUCAAAUGCUCCCUGCGUUCUGCUCCUGCCGAGAGGCCAGCAAAGCCCAAGGACCGACGGGGCCACGGUCCCCUCAGUUUGAAUUACAGUGGAGCCGGUGCUGGGUGUGUGGUGGGUAAACGGUGCCACGUGCAGCCCGAACCCUCGCUGACUUGGAAUCGGGCUGCACAAACUCCCUGUGCGGUGGUGGGGAAAGUGCUGGUGCUGAAGAAAAUGCUCAGGAGGAGACCACUUAGGCUUCACUCUUCCCAUCUGGUCUUCCAUACAGGAAGGCAAGGUCGAGCCCCACCUGGACGGCAGGAAGCCACACCGGGCAGCUGAGCCUCCUGGGGGAACUCUCUUCGCUCACUCCACGGGACAGCGUCACCAAUCCCCAGAGCUGCUGUCCCCAGGGUCCUUCUCAGGGAGAGGGGCUCUUGGGAAACAGAGUUGCAAGCCCCUUCCCAUUCAUCAGGGCCACCUGAUACAAAGUAUCCUUUGCUCCUCUGGUGUGAUCAAAACAUGCAACUCCUAGUGAGGCUGGGUAAGGACCCAGGGUUCACAUUUAGCAGGUGUCCUGGGUGUCUAGAUUCUACCACCACAGAGAAUAAGACAGGAAAAACUUCCUCAGCCCAUCGUGGUGGUGCACACCUAUAAUCCCCGCACUGUGGGAGGCUGAGUCAGGAGAAUCACAAAUCCAAGCCAAGCCUAGACAAUUUAGUGACAGGUAGAUUCUGUUUUAGUCACUUUCCUUGUCACUAGGACACAGUGCAU
ensembl:lncRNA